rnacentral:rRNA from 1 species
CUACGGGGGGCUCCAGUGGGGAAUAUUGGACAAUGGGGGAAACCCUGAUCCAGCAAUGCCGCGUGUGUGAAGAAGGCCUGCGGGUUGUAAAGCACUUUCGGUUGGGAGGACUGCUUCUAGCACUAAUAUUGUUGGAAGUUGACGUUACCUUCAGAAGAAGCACCGGCUAACUCCGUGCCAGCAGCCGCGGUGAAUACGGAGGGUGCAAGCGUUAAUCGGAAUUACUGGGCGUAAGGCGCGCGUAGGCGGCUAGAUCAGUCGGGUGUGAAAGCCCCGGGCUUAACCUGGGAACUGCAUCCGAUACUGGCUAGAUUGAGUACAGGAGAGGAGAGUUGAAUUCCACAUGUAGCGGUGAAAUGCGUAGAUAUGUGGAGGAACACCAAUGGCGAAGGCAGCUCUCUGGCCUGAUACUGACGCUGAGGUGCGAAAGCGUGGGGAGCAAACAGGAUUAGAUACCCGUGUAGUC